GAAGGNGGUUUACCAGAACACUUCCGACGGUGAGGGAUGAAANCUGGGGAANCAACCCGGAUUAGAUACCCGGGUANUCCCAGCUNUAAACUAUGCAAANUCAGUGAUGCAUUGGCNUGUGGCCAAUGCAGUGCUGCANGGGAAGNCCGUUAAGUUUGCCGCCUUGGGAAGUACGUACGCAAGUAUGAAACUUAAAAGGAAUUGGCGGGGGAGCACCACAANGGGGUGAAGCCUGCGGUUCAAUUGGAGUCAACGCCAGAAAUCUUACCCGGAGAGACAGCAGAAUGAAGGUCAAGCUGAAGACUUUACCAGACAAGCUGAGAGGUGGUGCAUGGCCGUCGCCAGCUCGUGCCGUGAGAUGUCCUGUUAAGUCAGGUAACGAGCGAGAUCCCUGCCUCUAGUUGCCACCAUUACUCUCAGGAGUAGUGGGGCGAAUUAGCGGGACCGCCGCAGUUAAUGCGGAGGAAGGAAGGGGCCACGGCAGGUCAGUAUGCCCCGAAACUCUGGGGCCACACGCGGGCUGCAAUGGUAGCGACAAUUGGUUUCGAAUCCGAAAGGAUGAGGUAAUCCACAAACGCUACCACAGUUAUGACUGAGGGCUGCAACUCGCCCUCACGAAUAUGGAAUCCCUAGUAACUGCGUGUCAUUAUCGCGCGGUGAAUACGUCCCUGCUCCUUGCACACACCGCCCGUCGUUUCAUUGAAGUGAGCUUUUAGCGAGGUGACGU
rnacentral:rRNA from 1 species